GCGAGACAGGUGGGGCGGUGACCGGGCGCGACCGAUAAACUGUUCGCGGACGACGCCGGGUACGGUCCCCGUGUCGUCCGUCAAUGAUCAGCCAGCAGCCGCUGCAAACCCAGGGAG
rnacentral:sRNA from 1 species